AAACAAUGGAGGUUUCAGUUAUAUUCGAAUAUAUGUAACAUUUCAUAAGAAUUUUCCAUUUAUUCUUAUGUCAUUGAAGUGUCAGAGAAAGAAAAUAAGGAGAAUGAUAUGAGGUGAUAUUGUGUGUGAUGCUAGCUGAGAAAUUUCCAGAGACAUCUAAAGACCUAAAACGUGUGGUGCUCCUAGAAAGAUAUGGCUUCAGUGCAAUUGUACAUCACACAAGAGAGCUGAUAGAAGAAGGCACAGCUUUAUUGGAAAGAAGACCACAGAGGAGCCUCUAGUGGCUUCCAUGACAUCCUCUCCGCCCACCUCUGAUUUCAGCCUUGCUGCUGUGGACGGU
rnacentral:lncRNA from 1 species